CAGUGUCACAGCUCUUUUAUAAUUUGUCUAGCAGGUUUUCUGGUUCUUCACGAGAACUCCU
rnacentral:snRNA from 1 species